CGAGAAACGGCUACCACUUCCAAGGAAGGCAGCAGGCGCGCAACUUACCCUAAUCUCGAUUCGAGGAGGUAGUGACAAGAAAUACCGAUGCGGGACCCUACGGGUGCCGCGUUCGGAAUGAGUACGAUUCGAACCACCUAACGAGGAACGAUCGGAGGGCAAGUCUGGUGCCAGCAGCCGCGGUAAUUCCAGCUCCAAUAGCGUACGUUAAAGUUGCUGCAGUUAAAAAGCUCGUAGUUGAACGUUCGGGUUCCGCGGGACGGGGCCGCCCCGCGAGGGACGGCGCCGCCCCGGGGCUCGUGAUAUCUUAUCUCGCCGCCCGUCGCGAGGCGGACGGAGGGAUGGGAUGAGGGUUACCUGGAAAAAAUCGGGGCGAUCUAGGCGGGCGAACCUCGCCAACGAACGAUCGGACAUGGGAUAACGGAAGA
rnacentral:rRNA from 1 species